GUCUACGGCCAUACCACCCUGAACGUGCCCGAUCUCGUCUGAUCUCGGAAGUAAGCAGGGUCGGGCCUGGUUAGUACUUGGAUGGGAGACAAGGAGUGAGUCUCCCUCCUGGAACAGUACUUA
rnacentral:rRNA from 1 species